UGAGAGGAAGUGGGGAUGACGUCAAAUCAGCACGGCCCUUAUGUCCAGGGCUACACACGUGUUACAAUGGCCAGUACAAAGGGCAGCUACCGGGUGACCGGAUGCUAAUCUCUAAAGCCUGGUCUCAGUUCGGAUCGAAGUCUGCAACCCGACUUCGUGAAGCUGGAUUCGCUAGUAAUCGCGCAUCAGCCAUGGCGCGGUGAAUACGUUCCCGGGUCUU
rnacentral:rRNA from 1 species